GAAGUCUGAAUCCUCCAGCAUGAAGGCGCUGGAUCUGAGUGAGAACCACCUGCAGGAUGUGGAAGUGAAGCUUCUGUCUGCUGGACUGAAAAGUCCACACUGUCAGCUGGAGACUCUCAGCCUGUCAGGGUGAUUCAUCACAGACGAGGGCUGCACCUGCCCGGCUGCAGCACUCAGGACCAACCCCUCGUACCUGAGAGAGCUGGACCUGAGCUGCAACCAGCCAGGAGGACCAGGACUGGAGUUGCUGUCUGCUGGGCUGUCUCCUGCUGUGACUCAUCUUCAUCUGGGCCCCUGAUUUCUGAGAGCUCGUGAGUGACCUGCCAGGAUUGGCCCUGGCCUGGGGUGAAUGACCUCUGACCUGUCACCAGACCUCCAACACAUCAAACUCUGGAUGAGCCUCCCGCUCACGCCUGACUGGUGACAUGGUGGCAAACACCAGGGGGCAGCAUAAGCCUGGACUCUGAGCUCCGACAGGCACACGCAGCUCGGCUGAAACCCGAGCCAGAAUCUAGGCCACUCCAGUGGGGUGGCUGCACGGUCUGCUGGCCCUGCAGCUUCCACUGAAGCAAACAAUGACCCGAUUCAUACAGAGUGUAGACCCGGGACGGUCGUCUUUCGGCUCCUCCCUUCCAGGACAAUGCUGCAACUGGACCCCCAUUGUUCCCGCGCCCCGUGAGACGUGAUGAUUGAGGUCAUUCCAGCAGUGGAGGACAGAGCCGCCCGUGCGGAGGGAACCACAGGGCCGAGUGGCUAAGAGCAGAGCUCAUCUGCAUGAAGAUCUGAAGACUUCACACCAUCACUGCUGCACCUUGCUCGGUUCUGAUCCACUUGGCCGUCGUGCAGCGGCUUCACUAGACCCGGUUCCUCAAGCACUGACGCUUCCUGGUCCGGUCCAGUGAGUUACACCAGCAAAUCUCCAGGGAGCAACUUUGGACUGGACCCGACCCACGAGGCACGUGGCCUAAGACCAUCACGGGACCCUUCGGCUGCUCCUAUCCGGCCCUCAGGAGACACUGACUGUCUCUGCUGAUUUAUGCUGUCUACGUUCAUCCAGCAUCCACUUUAAAGACCUUCAAACAAGACUUUAUUGGACUUUUUCACCAAGCUU